rnacentral:rRNA from 1 species
UACAGAGGUCUCAAGCGUUGUUCGGAUUCAUUGGGCGUAAAGGGUGCGUAGGCGGCGCGGUAAGUCGGGUGUGAAAUCUCGGAGCUUAACUCCGAAACUGCAUUCGAUACUGCCGUGCUUGAGGACUGGAGAGGAGACUGGAAUUUACGGUGUAGCGGUGAAAUGCGUAGAUAUCGUAAGGAAGACCAGUGGCGAAGGCGGGUCUCUGGGCCGAAACUGACGCUGAGGAGCGAAAGCGUGGGGAGCGAACAGG